rnacentral:rRNA from 1 species
GAGUUUGAUCCUGGCUCAGAACGAACGCUGGCGGCAGGCCUAACACAUGCAAGUCGAGCGCGGUCUUCGGACCGAGCGGCGCACGGGUGAGUAACACGUGAGUAACCUGCCUCGAAGUUUGGGAUAACUCUCCGAAAGGAGGGCUAAUACCGGAUAAGCCCACGAUGCUGCGGCACGGUGGGAAAAGGGGGCUUCGGCUUCCGCUUUGAGAGGGGCUCGCGGCCCAUUAGGUAGUUGGCGGGGUAACGGCCCACCAAGCCGAAGAUGGGUAGCUGGUCUGAGAGGACGAUCAGCCACACUGGAACUGAGACACGGUCCAGACUCCUACGGGAGGCAGCAGUGGGGAAUCUUGCGCAAUGGACGAAAGUCUGACGCAGCCAUGCCGCGUGAGCGAAGAAGGCCUUCGGGUCGUAAAGCUCUGUCCAGAGGGACGAAUAAGUCGGGUGCUAAUCAGCCCGGCCCUGACGGUACCUCUGAAGAAAGCACCGGCUAACUCCGUGCCAGCAGCCGCGGUAAUACGGAGGGUGCAAGCGUUGUUCGGAAUCACUGGGCGUAAAGCGCGCGUAGCGGUAACGCAAGUCGGGUGUGAAAGCCC